GUGUCGGGGCGGGCCCGUCCGGCGGCGCGGCGCGGGGCCAUGCGGCAGCCCCCGGGCGGUGGCAGCGGCGGCGGCGCCGCCUUCCUGCCCGCGGCGCGGUGCGGAGCGGCGGCCGGAGCGCCCCGCACAGCCAUGGGCGAUGGGUGGCUGCCCCCGGACUGCGGCCCCCAGAACCGCUCCGUGGCCGGGGUGACGGCCGUGCCGCCCGGGAGCCGGCAGCUGCCCGCCGCCGAGCUGUCGCAGCAGUGGGCUGUGGGCAUGAGCCUGCUGAUGGCCCUGGUGGUGCUGCUCAUCGUGGCCGGGAACGUGCUGGUGAUCGCGGCCAUCGGGAGGACGCAGCGGCUGCAGACCCUCACCAACCUGUUCAUCACCUCGCUGGCCUGCGCCGACCUGGUGAUGGGGCUGCUGGUGGUGCCCUUCGGGGCCACGCUGGUGGUGCGGGGCACCUGGCUCUGGGGGUCCUUCCUGUGCGAGUGCUGGACCUCCCUGGACGUGCUCUGCGUGACGGCCAGCAUCGAGACCCUGUGCGUCAUCGCCAUCGACCGCUACCUGGCCAUCACCUCGCCUUUCCGCUACCAGAGCCUCAUGACCAAGGGUCGGGCCAAGGGCAUCAUCUGCACCGUCUGGGCCAUCUCCGCCCUGGUCUCCUUCUUGCCCAUCAUGAUGCACUGGUGGCGGGAUGACGACCCCCAGGCGCUGGAGUGCUACCAGGAUCCGGGCUGCUGCGACUUCGUCACCAACAGGGCUUACGCCAUCGCCUCGUCCAUCAUUUCUUUCUACAUCCCCCUUCUCAUCAUGAUCUUUGUGUAUCUGCGGGUGUACAGAGAGGCCAAGGAGCAGAUGAGGAAGAUCGAUAGGUGCGAGGGCCGGUUCUACGGCAGCCAGGAGCAGCCGCAGACGCCCCUGCCCGCUCACCCUCACCACCAGCCCAUCCUCGGCAACGGCCGGGCCAGCAAGAGAAAGACCUCCCGCAUCAUGGCCAUGAAGGAGCAGAAAGCCCUCAAGACUUUGGGCAUCAUCAUGGGGGUGUUCACCCUCUGCUGGCUCCCCUUCUUCCUGGUGAACAUCGUCAACGUCUUCAACAGGGACCUGGUGCCGGACUGGCUCUUCGUUUUCUUCAACUGGCUGGGCUACGCCAACUCCGCGUUCAACCCCAUCAUCUACUGCCGCAGCCCCGACUUUCGGAAGGCCUUCAAGAGGCUGCUGUGCUGCCGCCGGAAAGCCGAGCGGUGGCUGCAGGGCGGCGGCGGGGAGCUGGCCCGGCUGCCCGGGGGCUUCAUCAGCACCGUGGGCUCCCCCGAGCGCAGCCUGGCCGGGACCUGGUCCGACUGCAACGGGGGCACGCGGGGCGGCAGCGAGUCCAGCCUGGAGGAGAGACACAGCAAAGCCUCCGACUCGGAGUCCAAGGGUCCAACUUAGGUGGGAAAUUUAUGGCCAGAACUUACUCUGCUUGCCCUGCUGAAGAGCUGUACUGGGUGAUGCAUCUCCUGGACAAGUGUAAUGGCACUGAGUUGAGGACCUGCUGGAAGAGUCUGGAGGCUGACACGUUGAGUGCCUUCGUAGAGAGCUGAAGCAAUCCCACUGGCAGCCUGCACAGGGGAUGCCAGUCCA